CUUCUCACUCUCUCAAGCCUGGCAGGUAGCAGCACCAUGAAGGGCACCAAACUGUGGGAAAGUAUUUAAUUUACCUAGAGAUGAAAAGGAAGCUGCCAGGGGUGGGCACAUGUCUGUAGUCCCAGCUACUCAGGAGGCUGAGGCAGAAGAAUCCCUUGAACCCAGGAGUUGGAGGUUGUGGUGAGCCAAGCUCACGCUAUUGUACUCCAGCCUGGGCAACAAGAGCGAAACUCUGUCUCAAAAAAUAAUAAAUAAAUUCUCCUGACCUCGUGAUCCACCCACCUCGGCCUCCCAAAGUGCUGGGGUUACAGGUGUGAGCCACCACACCUGGCCAAGUUGAUUCUAUCUUAAAUGAGUUGAAGGGGACUCAUGGCCUCGCCAUACUUGAGAAUGCAGUUUGGGAGUUCAGGAAAUGUGAUUAAUAUUAUAUGUCUACUGGUCUCUCCCUUCAGCCAUUCUUAAAGAUAUUAUCGUGCCUGGGAUGUGUGAGACCCCUGCCCCCAGGAGGGCCCUUAAACCAAUGAUGGGUGCAGCCCUGAGCCUGACUCACACACCUGAUUCCCCUUCAGGACCAGUCUGAAGCUCCUCUCUGCCGGGCAUAGCGAAAUGUAUAAUUUUCCCUUUGGAAUAGGAUUUCAGCACUUGGAAAUUCUAAGGUCAUGAUUGGAAGAAGGCUUAAAAGUAAAGAGGCUGGGACCUGUGGCAGAAAAAGGGAGAAAAGGUGGAAGUAAAAGAGGAAAACAGACUUAGUUUCUAGAAGCCCAUGGCUUUGCCUAUUUGUCCACCAUCUGGAAUAUAGUAAGUGCUCAUUAAAUAUUUGCUGAAUGAAUCCAAAACA
rnacentral:lncRNA from 1 species